AACCCAGCAACCCUAUACAUGGGGGAAUCACUGAACUCGGGAGAUGUUGCUGAACAUAUUGGGCAGUGUUUGGCAGUGACACAUAACAGGAUCUAUUAAUUCAUGCCUAAAGUACAAUGUGUGUGACAAAGAAACAAAAAAAGAUUACUACCCAAAAGUUUGACAAAGGCUGGUGGUAGUAUUCAGUGCAUGAAAAGUGUUAAAAUACCACUAUUUAAA